rnacentral:lncRNA from 1 species
GACGGCCAGAGGAGAAAUAGGUGUUGGUCCCCUAAAGUCUCCCUUGUAGUAUUCUCUUCUCAUUGUCAAGCACUGGGCUGUUCAGAGCCUUGUAGAGUCCUUUUCUGUCCCUACCAUCACAGGCAGGUGAAAGCCUUGCCCCUGAGCAGAUGACUUUACCCAUGUGGGUGCCCCUUGAGGCUAGUGUUGCAGGUAUUUGAAGGCAGGGGCUGUUCCUGCUGUUUGUUUGCUUCCAACUCCUAGAGCAGUAAUGGGGAACCUUUUAGAGCUUUCAGUGAUACAAACAGCCCACUGCAGCCUGCAUACUGUAGGUUUACCAGCUGUGCUAUAUUAACUAUUGGUCACCUUGGAACGCCCAGCUGAACUGAAUCAGUACGGUUCUGGGUGUGGAAGACUCACGUGAGAGUUGUGGCCAGUGGCAUAAAAAGAGCCCUGGAGGGGAAGGUGUUUAGCUGUAGGUUUUCUUGGAGAAGCUUGCUGAGGCUGGUUUUCCUGAUGCAAAUUUGGCUUUGCUCGGCACUGAAGGAGCUCAGGUCCUCGCUAUCGCCAAGGACGGCUGCUGUUCUCCAGUGCAGGGAAGAACACAGACAGCGGGAAAGACACGGGGGACUUUCUACACCAUGACUCCGAAUGCAAAAAUGAGUUCAGUCCCGGAUGCCCAGGACGGCCCUCUUCCACCUCACAGGAAAUCACACAAAGGAUCCCAUGGCCAGGCUAUAAGCACUCCUUCUGCAGCGUCCGGACUAGGAGCUGCUGGUCCCCAGGUGCUGUCUGUUUGCAGUCUUAUCCGGAGGGAUGAAAAGCAACAGGGAGGACAGUUGUCAGCGGCCAAUUCCAGCCAGAGCUUCUCUCGGUGCCCACAGGGACAGGGAGGUGAAGUUGAACGACACCAGGGCUGGCAGGGCUCAUGGCUCAUGGGUGCGCUCUCAGGUCCUCCAGGUCUCGAGGCAGGUCUGAAGGCCAGUGCGUGA